UACAGAGGGGGCAAGCGUUGUUCGGAAUUACUGGGCGUAAAGGGCGCGUAGGCGGCCGCCUAAGUCAGACGUGAAAUCCCUCGGCUCAACCGGGGAACUGCGUCUGAUACUGGGUGGCUUGAAUCCGGGAGAGGGAUGUGGAAUUCCAGGUGUAGCGGUGAAAUGCGUAGAUAUCUGGAGGAACACCGGUGGCGAAGGCGGCAUCCUGGACC
rnacentral:rRNA from 1 species